AUGGGAACGCGAAGAACCUUACCUACUCUUGACAUCCAGAGAACUUAGCAGAGAUGCUUUGGUGCCUUCGGGAACUCUGAGACAGGUGCUGCAUGGCUGUCGUCAGCUCGUGUUGUGAAAUGUUGGGUUAAGUCCCGCAACGAGCGCAACCCUUAUCCUUUGUUGCCAGCGGUUAGGCCGGGAACUCAAAGGAGACUGCCAGUGAUAAAACUGGAGGAAGGUGGGGAUGACGUCAAGUCAUCAUGGCCCUUACGAGUAGGGCUACACACGUGCUACAAUGGCGCAUAACAAAAGAAGAAGCGACCUCGCGAGAGCAAGCGGACCUCAUAAAGUGCGUCGUAGUCCGGAUUGGAGUCUGCAACUCGACUCCAUGAAGUCGGAAUCGCUAGUAAUCGUAGAUCAGAAUGCUACGGUGAAUACGUUCCCGGGUCUU
rnacentral:rRNA from 1 species